rnacentral:RNase_P_RNA from 1 species
GGAGUCGGCCAGACAGUCGCGUCACUCGCAAGAGUGCCGAGGAAAGUCCGGGCUCCACAGGGCAGGGUGCCAGGUAACACCUGGGCGGCGUGAGCCGACGACCAGUGCAACAGAGAAUAGACCGCCGAUGGCUCGCAAGAGAUCAGGCAAGGGUGAAACGGUGCGGUAAGAGCGCACCGCGCGCGGGGACAACGUCGCGUGGCACGGUAAACUCCACCCGGAGCAAGACCGAAUAGGGGAGCAUGGCGUGGCCCGCGUCGCUCCCGGGUAGGUUGCUUGAGCCUCGCGGCGACGCGCGGCCUAGAGGAAUGACUGUCCAACGACAAAACCCGGCUUAUCGGCCGACUCCAUCU